CUCAGGAUGAACGCUAGCGGCAGGCUUAACACAUGCAAGUCGAGGGGUAUAGUUCUUCGGAACUAGAGACCGGCGCACGGGUGCGUAACGCGUAUGCAAUCUACCUUUUACAGAGGGAUAGCCCAGAGAAAUUUGGAUUAAUACCUCAUAGCAUAGCAGCUUCGCAUGAAGCCACUAUUAAAGUCACAACGGUAAAAGAUGAGCAUGCGUCCCAUUAGCUAGUUGGUAAGGUAACGGCUUACCAAGGCUACGAUGGGUAGGGGUCCUGAGAGGGAGAUCCCCCACACUGGUACUGAGACACGGACCAGACUCCUACGGGAGGCAGCAGUGAGGAAUAUUGGACAAUGGGCGCAAGCCUGAUCCAGCCAUGCCGCGUGCAGGAUGACGGUCCUAUGGAUUGUAAACUGCUUUUAUACGAGAAGAAACACUACUUCGUGAAGUAGCUUGACGGUAUCGUAAAAAUAAGGAUC
rnacentral:rRNA from 1 species